UCUUCCCUCUUUCUUCGUGCCUAAUACAUGCAAGUCGAGCGAACAGAUAAGGAGCUUGCUCCUUUGACGUUAGCGGCGGACGGGUGAGUAACACGUGAGUAACCUACCUAUAAGACUGGGAUAAAUUCGGGAAACCGGAGCUAAUACCGGAUAAUAUUUCGAACCGCAUGGUUCGAUAGUGAAAGAUGGUUUUGCUAUCACUUAUAGAUGGACCCGCGCCGUAUUAGCUAGUUGGUAAGGUAACGGCUUACCAAGGCGACGAUACGUAGCCGACCUGAGAGGGUGAUCGGCCACACUGGAACUGAGACACGGUCCAGACUCCUACGGGAGGCAGCAGUAGGGAAUCUUCCGCAAUGGGCGAAAGCCUGACGGAGCAACGCCGCGUGAGUGAUGAAGGUCUUCGGAUCGUAAAACUCUGUUAUUAGGGAAGAACAUACGUGUAAGUAACUGUGCACGUCUUGACGGUACCUAAUCAGAAAGCCACGGCUAACUACGUG
rnacentral:rRNA from 1 species